UGUUCCAGCUCUUUAUGCAGCUGAACCCUCCAAACGUCUCAGUUGGCUCACGUUGCCACAAGGGAUGAAAAGCAGUCCCACAAUCUGUCAGUCUGUGGUGUCCAAUAUAAUUGAACCAGUUCGAUCUCAGUUUCCUGAAGCUAUCAUUUUUCAUUACAUGGACAACCUAUUGAUCAGUGCCCCUAAUACUGACAAAUUGACAUUGGUACAUAAGUCUGUGAAAAAAACCCUGAGUAAUCAUGGGUAAGAAAUAGCCCCAGAAAAAGAACAAAGAAUUUCCCCGUGGAAGUACCUUGGUCUGAUAAUAGAAGAGAGAACAUUUAGGCCUCAAGCAGUAACCUUGCCCACCAAAAUAAAACCACUAAACGAUCUGCAGUCUCUUUUGGGAAAUCUCAAUUGGAUAUGAUCCUUUUUUGGUUUCUCAACAGAUUUUUUAGCUCCUUUGUUUCAGCUCCUUAAGGGAGAAGCAGAACUAACUUCUCCUCGUCACUUGACACCAGAAGCAGAAAAUAUUAUUGAAGUGAUCAACCAAAAAAUUUCAGAACAACAGGUAAACAGGAGAGUAGAAGGAUUACCUACUGCAUUACUAAUCUUUCGUGGACCAAAACAGCCUUUUGCUGUAAUAGGACAAUUAGACUCAAAACCCAAAAAAUUUCUUUUGUGGGAAUGGGCAUUUCUCAGUCACCAGUUUUCAAAGACAAUUGUUACUGUGCCUGAAAUGCUUGCAAAAGUCUGUCACAAAGGCAAACUCCGAAUGUUAGAACUGUCAGGGAAGGACCCAGAUUUUCUUUAUGUUCCGCUGUCCAAAUCUCAACUGCGUUAUCAUGAUUUACAUCUGUUUGAUUUUCAACUGGUUAUGUCAGAUUUUACAGGCAAACUGAUAACCCAUCUACCAGCAAUUCCUUUUCUGCAGUUUCUUUCCAUCUCGCAACCCAGACUGAGAAAUAACUUUUCUACUAGCCCUUUGAAGAAAGCUGUGACAGCCUUCACAGACGGCUCAGGGAGGUCCAGUAAUGCAGUGGUAGCCUGGUUUGAAAAAGGAGAAUGGAAAAGAGAUGUUCAUCAAGUUGAAGGCUCAUCUCAGAUUGCUGAACUCUCAGCCGUGGAGCAGGUCCAAGAUGGAUACCGUCCAGACUAGUGAGGAUCCACCAAGAAGUUUCCCUCCCAGCUCAACCAGCAGCAGAUCCAGCACCACCGGAUUCAGCACCAACUACAGGAAGCGAUCCCACAUCAGCAUCACUUUCGGGAUAAUCCUGGUUUUGUGUGCAGCAUAACACCAGCAAAUCAGAAAGACCUAACGUCAGGAGCCCUUGCCACACCUCCUCCAACAAUUCCAAAUUGGGUAAUGCUCCCUGGUCAAAAUGUUUGGCUAAACCUGGCACAAUCACUAAAUACUGACUCUAUCUGUCUCUCUA